ensembl:lncRNA FBXO34-AS1 FBXO34 antisense RNA 1
ACGGAUCCAGAGUUUCACGGCGCCCCCUGCCGGACACUGGGGGCGGGAAGGGGGAAGUGAAAAGGGAGACCUGGAUGACGCGUCUGCGGCCCCCAAGUGGUAGAGAAUGAAAGUUUGAGCACGACUGUAGGGAAAGGAAUCAAACCUCCCAGGCCAGCCAAGAAGGAAUCCUGAUCUGGGCUACCCUAUCUGUGCUUCUGGUGAGGUGGGCCCAGAACCAUCGUGUGAAUAAUGAUUGACCUCAGCUAGUGGUUCUCAUGGAGUGAUUGAUUUUGCUUCCCAGAGGACAUCAGCAAUGUCUGGAGACAUUUCCAGUUGUCACUACUUGAGAGGAAGCGUGAUCGGCCUCUAGAAGGGAGAGACCAGGGAUGCCGCUGCUCAAUAUCCUAUAAUGCACAGAACAGCUUCUACGACAAAGAGUUAUUCCACCAAAAAUGUCAGUAGUGCCAAGGUUGAGAGAACCUGCUCUAGGGUAAUCAGUGUGGUCCCAAUCUCCCUGUCAGUAACUGAUUCAACUCACAUAAUAAUCUUAUGGGAGUGUGAUGUAAUUCUAGCCAAUAAAAUGCAAUGGGAAGUUGGCCGAGAUACUUCUGAAAAAAUCUUCUCUUACCCCUAAAAAGAGACAUUCAUUUUCUGUUGAAAUGCAUUACUUUCCUAAAUAAAAUCAUAUUUACCAACAACGAGAAAAAGAGAAACAUGCAAGAAACCAUCUGUUUGCUGCUAGAUGCCAUUGUGUCUGCAAUGUGAUAUCUGGAACUAUGGCUGUCAUCCUGGAACCAUGAGAGGAGUUAGCUGAAGAAACAGGAGGAUGGCAAAGCGGAAGGAUGGAAGUUACCUGAGGCUGAGGACAUCAGUGCACCUCUGAUUUAACCAAUCCUUGAGACUUCUUGUUAUAUGAGAUAAUAAAUUCUAUUGCUAUUUAAGUCAUGUAUAGGGCUUUAAAACAUUUCAUAGCUGAAAACAUCCUGAUAUAUAUUUUAUAUUUUUAUUUGAUAUGUGGAAGAGAAAAUAAAAUAUGGGAGGAAAGACACUAACCUCCUUUGGGGGCAGGCUCUACAAUUGUCCAGUAAUAAAAUAAUUUUCUUUGCUGUGCUUCCAGAA